rnacentral:rRNA from 1 species
UACGUAGGGUGCAAGCGUUGUCCGGAAUUAUUGGGCGUAAAGAGCUCGUAGGCGGUUUGUCGCGUCGAAUGUGAAAACCCGGGGCUCAACCCCGGGCCUGCAUUCGAUACGGGCAGACUAGAGUUCGGUAGGGGAGUCUGGAAUUCCUGGUGUAGCGGUGAAAUGCGCAGAUAUCAGGAGGAACACCGGUGGCGAAGGCGACUACCUGGCCUGUUCUUGACGCUGAGGCGCGAAAGCUAGGGGAGCGAACGGG